rnacentral:rRNA from 1 species
GAUCCUGGCUUAGGAUGAACGCUAGCUACAGGCUUAACACAUGCAAGUCGAGGGGCAGCAUGGUCUUAGCUUGCUAAGAUUGAUGGCGACCGGCGCACGGGUGAGUAACGCGUAUCCAACCUUCCCUAUAGUAGGGGAUAGCCCGUAGAAAUGCGGAUUAAUACCCUAUGUUGUAUUUUGAGGACAUCUGACGAACACCAAAGGUUUACCGCUAUAGGAUGGGGAUGCGUCUGAUUAGGUAGUCGGCGGGGUAACGGCCCACCGAGCCAACGAUCAGUAGGGGUUCUGAGAGGAAGGUCCCCCACAUUGGAACUGAGACACGGUCCAAACUCCUACGGGAGGCAGCAGUGAGGAAUAUUGGUCAAUGGGCGAGAGCCUGAACCAGCCAAGUAGCGUGCCAGGAUGACGGCCCUAUGGGUUGUAAACUGCUUUUAUGCGGGGAUAAAGUGAGGGACGUGUCCCUUAUUGUAGGUACCGCAUGAAUAAGGACCGGCUAAUUCCGUGCCAGCAGCUGC